rnacentral:rRNA from 1 species
ACGCACGCUGGCGGCGUGCUUCACACAUGCAAGUCGCACGGAAAGGCCCUGCUUUUGUGGGGUGCUCGAGUGGCGAACGGGUGAGUAACACGUGAGUAACCUGCCCUUGACUUUGGGAUAACUUCAGGAAACUGGGGCUAAUACCGGAUAGGAGCUCCUGCUGCAUGGUGGGGGUUGGAAAGUUUCGGCGGUUGGGGAUGGACUCGCGGCUUAUCAGCUUGUUGGUGGGGUAGUGGCUUACCAAGGCUUUGACGGGUAGCCGGCCUGAGAGGGUGACCGGCCACAUUGGGACUGAGAUACGGCCCAGACUCCUACGGGAGGCAGCAGUGGGGAAUAUUGCACAAUGGGCGGAAGCCCGAUGCAGCAACGCCGCGUGCGGGAUGACGGCCUUCGGGUUGUAAACCGCUUUCGCCUGUGACGAAGCGUGAGUGGCGGUAAUGGGUAAAGAAGCACCGGCUAACUACGUG